UGCCUGGCGGCAAUAGCGCGGUGGUCCCACCUGAUUCCAUGCCGAACUCAGCAGUGAAACGCCGUAGCGCCGAUGGUAGUGUGGGGUCUCCCCAUGUGAGAGUAGGACACUGCCAGGCAU
rnacentral:rRNA from 1 species